rnacentral:rRNA from 1 species
GAUGAACGCUGGCGGCGUGCUUAACACAUGCAAGUCGAACGAAGCACUUUAACCUGAUUCUUCGGAUGAAGGUUUUUGUGACUGAGUGGCGGACGGGUGAGUAACGCGUGGGUAACCUGCCUCAUACAGGGGGAUAACAGUUAGAAAUGACUGCUAAUACCGCAUACGACCACAGAGCCGCAUGGCUCGGUGGGAAAAACUCCGGUGGUAUGAGAUGGACCCGCGUCUGAUUAGGUAGUUGGUGGGGUAACGGCCUACCAAGCCAACGAUCAGUAGCCGACCUGAGAGGGUGCCCGGCCACAAUGGGACUGAGACACGGCCCAAACUCCUACGGGAGGCAGCAGUGGGGGAUAUUGCACAAUGGGGGAAACCCUGAUGCAGCGACGCCGCGUGAGCGAAGAAGUAUUUCGGUAUGUAAAGCUCUAUAAGCAGAGAAGAAAAUGACGGUACCUGACUAAGAAGCACCGGCUAACUACGUG